AUUGAACGCUGGCGGCAGGCCUAACACAUGCAAGUCGAGCGGAUGAAGGGAGCUUGCUCCUGGAUUCAGCGGCGGACGGGUGAGUAAUGCCUAGGAAUCUGCCUGGUAGUGGGGGAUAACGUCCGGAAACGGGCGCUAAUACCGCAUACGUCCUGAGGGAGAAAGUGGGGGAUCUUCGGACCUCACGCUAUCAGAUGAGCCUAGGUCGGAUUAGCUAGUUGGUGGGGUAAAGGCUUACCAAGGCGACGAUCCGUAACUGGUCUGAGAGGAUGAUCAGUCACACUGGAACUGGGACACGGUCCAGACUCCUACGGGAGGCAGCAGUGGGGAAUAUUGGACAAUGGGCGAAAGCCUGAUCCAGCCAUGCCGCGUGUGUGAAGAAGGUCUUCGGAUUGUAAAGCACGUUAAGUUGGGAGGAAGGGCAGUAAGUUAAUACCUUGCUGUUUUGACGUUACCAACAGAAUAAGCACCGGCUAACUUCGUG
rnacentral:rRNA from 1 species